rnacentral:rRNA from 1 species
CAGAGGUCCCAAGCGUUGUUCGGAUUCACUGGGCGUAAAGGGUGCGUAGGUGGUCGGGUAAGUCUGACGUGAAAUCUCCGAGCCUAACUCGGAAACUGCAUCGGAUACUAUUCGGCUCGAGGGUUGGAGGGGGGACUGGAAUACUUGGUGUAGCAGUGAAAUGCGUAGAUAUCAAGUGGAACACCAGUGGCGAAGGCGAGUCCCUGGACAACUCCUGACACUGAGGCACGAAAGCUAGGGGAGCAAACAGGAUUAGAUACCCUGGUAGUCCUAGCCGUAAACGGUGCACGUUUGCUGUAAAAGGAAUCGACCCCUUUUGUGGCGAAGCUAACGCGUUAAAACGUGCCGCCUGGGAAGUACGGUCGCAACGAUUA